ACGCCCUGACCAUACUAAAUAAAGACAAAACAAAGGAAAUAAAGGUCAGAACGUGACACAAUGGAGGAAGUGGAACUGUAAGUACUGCAGAUUUSACACAUCAAAUCAACGCAUCCUUAUUAGASUUUACAAAUUGAAGCAUAGACAUUAUGCAAGAACCUGUCCAUUCCCAUGUAUCCAUCAAGACUGRCCGUGCACCUUUAAAACAGAAAUAGCACUCAAGAAGCAUUUGACUCAACACUGAAGAAAUGUUCAUUAAACAGUUACUGCUUGUAUGAAAUGUGACCUCUGUAAUUUUUAUGAGCCUUGUAAUGUUAAGCAGUACUUUUCUCAUUUGAGAAGUCAUUUCAACAAUAAGGAUUAUAUGCAAGAAGAGUUUCUGAAAAUAGGUCCUGACUGGGUAACUGUUGAUGCAGCAAUGAUGACUACUUUCUCAUUAAGAAGAAAGGAGAUUGUGGAAGAUGAGCCCUUUGUCAUUGACAUCAAAUUUAGAUGGCCAGUGCUGUUCAGACAACAAGUGCUUAUUUAAAAUCUGCAAAAGGUCCAGUAAGAUUUUCUGUGAUUGUUUUAAAUUAAUAAUUUACACAGUUUCUUAUACCUCAAGAGCUUGUCUUCCUUCAGACCUUUGUGCAUUUUGAGAUGAAACGUGAUUAGAGGACACAAGGAACUACAUAAGUUAAUGUAAUACGCUUUCCAAAAAUGUAUUCCUUUUAUCUGUAGUGCUCUUAGGCUGGUUGUAAAAAUCCUAAAACUCUGACUGUUUAUAGGUCACACAAAUGCAGGGCUCUAUACAGUGUACGUGUUUUACUCACAUUUUCUGAACUAAUUUAUGGAUAUAAAUCAUUGUUGUUUUCAAAGUAUUUCUGUCAUUUAGUUUCAUAGCUUGACUCUGAAUCCCUUWACUAUAUUUAACAUUGUGCGCAGUGGCAGUCACAGGUUGUCAUAGAUGCAUUUGAAAUAUCCCAACUGAGACUUAGCUAGUUUUCAUGUUUCCUAGCUAUGUAUAUAAUCAAGAUAUAUUUUCCCCAAAUCAGUAUAAGUACUGUAGCUCCAUUACCAUGGUAACCCUUUGGGUUGAAAGUGGCAGCGGAUCAUUUUAAUCAUUUUCCUAUAUUAAAUGCUUAUAGGGUUUUUUAACAAMUGUUUAUUGCUUUAUCUUUGUAGCAAUGUAAUUGGCUAUUUUGCUUGAUGGCCUUAGUGCCCUGGCUGAUUGUUUUGGUGCACUGGCAGAUUAGGCACCCCCUUAAGGCAUAGUGGCCGUGUCCCUAAAAUUCCUUCCCUGGUAUGUUAUGCUCUUCAAACAUGUUGCUCUGGAGUUCACGAGACUGGUGUCUGUGGACCUCAAGAAGACAUUUUAUGAAGGCCUGGACAGUCAUCUUUCCAAGCUCCUUGAAUUCUCCCGGGCCAAGAGUGGUGGAGGGAUGGAGCUAAAACACCUUAUGGACAGUCUUGASAAAGACAGUUCCAAUCAAAGGAAGAGGCUGUGCUCCAAGACCCUACCAAUGUUUUGAAGACGUGAGAAGACAACUGAUUCUGAGGAAGUCACUCGCGGAGUGAAAAUCGGUAUACUUGUCAUUGUGGAUGGAGCUGCAGCAGAUGACCCAAUGCCAGCUGACAAUGUGGAUGUUGCCCUUGUGAUAGAAGAGCAGGGGAUCAUACAGGAGCUUCACAAUGUKCCAAAUGCAUUUGCCACUUUGAUUGGACUUCUUUAUUGUCUGAACCUGGAUUACCCAAAAUGUUUGAGGUACACUUUUGAGGUAGUUCAGAAAAUAUUCUUGAAGAUUGGUGCAGAAAACUGUACAGAAAAGUGCAUGGGCUGAAGAACCGUCUUCUUCGUUAAGACAACUAAUUGGUGUGUUUUUGUUUUACUCGCAGUAGAGUUAAUUCCUCGGACAAUGAUGCUGUUAUUUGCCUAAAUCUUACAGAUCUCKGUUUUUGGUAGACUUAAGUUACCCUAUUUUUACGUGUGCCCUUCAGUCUACAAACUACAACCGUCUUUUGUUAGAGACCAUUGAUUUGCUAUCAUCUCUURCCAUUAACUACAUUGCAUUUUUAAAAUGUUUAGCAUGUUAGAAUUUCACAUUCAACACCAACUUGUCUUAGAAACGAUUCUGAAGAUUGUCUUUGAAUUUUUAUUUACCGUGCCAUAAAACCGUUUCAAUGGUGCCAUUUACAAAUGUGUAUGGGUUGAUUGGACAGUGGGAAAAACAUAUAUAUAUUUUUUUACAAAAUAUUUAUUAGCUGAUAUUGGUUAAAAGACCAAUUAGUGACAGCAGAAUUUGGCUGCCUGUUUAAAUGCAACCAAAGACAUGCAUCUAAAAAAAAAUAUGCAUUAUGUUUUUUUUCUCAUGACAAUCAAAAUGCAUU